UCUCACUAACCCUAGCUGCGCCAAUCUUUUCCCUUUUCCCUCUCAGUCUCUACUGUUCUCGCACUCUCGCAUCAGCGAAUCCUCCAUGGACGCGUCAAACAGGAACAUCGACCGUCUCGAGAACCGCUUCAGGCUUCGGCGACGCUUCUUCUUCGAGCGAGAGAAAGAGUGGCGGCAGUGGUGUUUGGGGUUUGGGUUUCGAACGACUGUGGUGAUGGCUAUUUGGGUGAUGGUGGUGUGAAUGGAGGAGCGAUUUGGGUGAUGGUGGUGCGAAUGGAGGAGGGGAAGUGGAGCCCAGCUUCAGAUUGAGAAGGGAAAGUGGUUGUGGUGGCGUUUAGGGAGAGGAAGAGUGGCGGCAGUGGUGUUUGGGGUUUGGGUUUCGAAGGUCAAUGGUGAUUUGGGGGUUUGAAGGUCAGUGAAGAGGGUUUGAGGAGAGGAUACAGGAAGGAGGAGACAGAAUGGGUGUGGGUUUGAAGAUCUGGGUUCUUAAAUUUGGGUUUUUCAGAGUGAGGGAACCCUAGUCCGCGCCGUCUCUCUUCAUCGAGCCCUGGUUCCGUGCAGCCAUCACCGCGUCUCUGAGAACCCUAGUUUCUUUUGCUGUUUCAUGUGCUUUUGUAAUUUACGAAAUCCUGGUGUUGUCUGCUCUCAACCUAUACAGAUUUGUAUUGAUGACAGAAUCUUCAGGAAAGACAAACUGCACUGGUGUCCUAUCAAGGAACACUUUGUUGAAGGCCUUCAAUGAAUGGUUGCUUCCUUUGCGGACCUUAGUGACAGGUAUAUUGGCAGAGAACAAGAAUGAUUAUGAUCAGCUUGCAGUUGACACUUUAUGCACAAUAAAUCCACUUUAGUUGGUGUUGUACCGGUGCAUUGAGCUUGUAGAAGAUAAGAUAAAGGAAGCCACAUAGGCUAUCCUACUGGCCAAAACUUUUAUCGCUUGCUUCUUUUCAGUAUCCCGUAAUUUAUGAUUCUGCUUUUACUAUUUAUUGCUUGCUUCUUUUCUAUCGAGAUAGUUUCUUUGAUUCUCUCACUGGAUUGGAUUUAAGAGAUAAUGACAAUAGGAUCAUAAUCAAGUUUAUGAUAAUCACCCGUUGAAGCUGCUUGUAAAGGGUUUCCUGCAGACAGAGUCAUGGAAUAAAAGGUCUAGGAACUGCUUUGGCUCUUAUGAAGCAGUAGCAUGGUGCGAACAUGCUUUUGGUGCGAACCGGCCAGUGUUUCCUCCUCAAUGGUUUCAUUUUCUUAGGAAGGGAAGCCCUUACUUGGUACUCUACUAGAUGCAUAUAGAAGUAGCUUGCAAAAUUUAAGGGAAGGAUUUCAACUCUUUUAAUAUCUUAUCUCAGGCUCAACCUGAAAUUUCACCUUCACUCUACUUGUUUUGUAUAUGUUUCAGGGAAGCCCUUACUUGGUACUCUACUAAAUUCAGUCACAUCUUUUGGUUUCUAAUUAGAAGAAAUUCAGUUACAUCUUGAUUAGAAAGACUAAAUUGCAUCCACUCAUCUUGAUUGAAGAAGGAUAUAUAACAAACUGGCUUUGAAGCUUCUUAUAUGAAGAGGUGAGUUUUUAACUGGCUUGAAGCUUCUUAUAUGAAGAGGUGGUUUUUUGUCUACUUCAUUGCAUUCUCAUAUUUGGCCAGGACUUUCCAUGAUAUUGGCCCUAGAGUAGUUUUUAUAGCUCACUUGAGAGAGUAUGUUCUCAAGAACAAUUAGUUAUUAAUAUUAUUAGUAUUGUUUUGGACAAAUUAGUGAAGUGGGUUCAGUAUUGUUAUUCUCUUGGCUGGAAUAUUUGAAUGUAGGUUCUCUUGGCUGUAAUAUGUGAAUGUUGUUGUUCUCAACAUGUGAUUUUUUGCAAGUUUA